AUUGAACGCUUGCUGCAGGCCUAACACAUGCAAGUCGAACGGUAAUAGGACUAGCUUGCUAGUUGCUGACGAGUGGCGGACGGGUGAGUAACGCGUAGGAAUCUACCGAGUAGUGGGGGACAACAGUUGGAAACGGCUGCUAAUACCGCAUACGCCCUUGUUUUAUGACAGGGGGAAAGGGGGUGAUCCAUUUAUGGACCUUUCGCUAUUUGAUGAGCCUGCGUGAGAUUAGCUAGUUGGUGGGGUAAAGGCUCACCAAGGCGACGAUCUCUAGCUGGUCUGAGAGGAUGAUCAGCCACACUGGGACUGAGACACUGCCCAGACUCCUACGGGAGGCAGCA
rnacentral:rRNA from 1 species